AAAGAGGUGGGGCUGCCACAGCCUCAGCUGCCUCCACCCUUCCCACCAACCUGAGUUAAGCUGCUGCUGCUGCUGCUGCUUUGCCAGUGGCCGAGUCAUCCCUGAGCAGUGUCAUCCCGGCAUCCUCGGAGCAUCCAACAACUGCUGGGCACUUGCAGCCCUCUCAUGAAUUUCCUUCUUUUUCUCCAACUGGCCUUCUCCAGUGACUUCUGUUGUUUCAAGGCUACUGUUUUCCAUCUCCUCAGAGAAGCACUGUUUCUUCUUGAAGUAUGGAACUUGUGUGGAAACAAAGGUGGUAUCUUCAGCUGGGCUGUAUAUUGUUACUGAAUUUGGUGUAUGGCAAUCUAGACUAUCAAAAAGAAACUCCUCCAAGCCUGGGUGAGAUUGACCAUCAGUGCUGGGAGGUAUCGUCCCACGGGCUGGUGGAAAUGAAGAAAAUCAAGGUAGCAGAUACAGUCAUUGCUCUCUGGGACUUCAUGAUGUUCCUAAAGGAAUCCCCUAAGCCCAGACACAAUGAACUCUUCAAUGAUUUAGCUCAGAACUUCUGGGGUAUGUAUGUAGACUGUGUGCUAUCAAGAUCCCAUGGAAUGGGCAGAAGACAAUUAACAUCUCCCAAAUAUUCUUCCACAUACUCACAUAGAACUUUAGAAGGGUCUGCUUUCACCAAACCAUUUUAGACCAAAAGGGGAGAAAAUGAAGAUACCUCAGCAAAGCAACAUCAAAAUGGAGCACAAAAGCACAGCAUAUAUUGUAGAUGCUUAGACAAAUCCUUUGGCAUGGUUCGAUAUUUUGGGUUUUUUCUUUGUAUAAAGUACUUAAUCACUGCUAAACUGAUAAGUACAUGAGCCCCUACUUUGUCACUUUUGCUUCCCUGUCUUGCAAUCUACCAAAUUUGCCUUUUCCCCACUGCAUGUGUGAAUGCUUUUGUGUUUUAAGUCAACACCUUUGUUCUCUCAGGUAAGCCUGUAAGUCUG